GACGAACGCUGGCGGCGUGCCUAACACAAGCAAGUCGAGCGGGAACCUCAGGAGGGGUAACCCUCCUGAGGGGAGAGCGGCGAACGGGUGAGUAACACGUGGGCAACCUGCCCCGGACACCGGGAUAACCCAGGGAAACCUGAGCUAAUACCGGAUACUCCGGCGAGAUCGCAUGGUCGCGCCGGGAAAGCUCCGACGGUCCGGGAUGGGCCCGCGGCCUAUCAGCUUGUUGGUGGGGUAACGGCCCACCAAGGCGACGACGGGUAGCUGGUCUGAGAGGACGGCCAGCCACACUGGGACUGAGCCACGGCCCAGACUCCUACGGGAGGCAGCAGUGGGGGAUCUUGCGCUAAUGCGCGAAAGCGUGACGCAGCGACGCCGCGUGGGGGAUGAAGGCCCUCGGGUUGUAAACCCCUUUCGGCAGGGACGAAGCGAAAGUGACGGUACCUGCAGAAGAAGUCCCGGCUAACUACGUGCCAGCCGCCGCAGUAACAC
rnacentral:rRNA from 1 species